rnacentral:lncRNA from 1 species
CAGGCAGAGAGCUGCAGAAGUGAAGAAGUGAAGCCCUCCCUCCCUUUCCAGUUGUGUUUGUCUUGGUGUGAAGCUCGGAGCUCAUCGGUCCCCAGCCCGUUCCCUGCGACAAGUGGAUUUCAACCCAGGCUUAAAUACGGUCGCUUAUACGUGACGUCUGCAGACCUGGUACGACCAUCACACCUGAUCCACUGCACAAGAACACGACACCGCCACAGUCUCAUAGACAAUAAACCACGGAGCGUCAAAGGAAGGAAAGCAGAUUCAUCAGGGAAGAUUUCAGCAAUUGUCCUUCAUGUCAAGAUUGGUGUGAAAAAUGUAUCAGGCACUAACUGUGCUAUACUGGAUAUGAGCAAAUAUGGGGACUCUGCAAGAAACCAUGACAAGUCAACAGCUUUGACAGCCCAAAAGGAAAUCCAUUUGUUUUUGCAUUUGUGAAAGAUAUUUUUUUACUCUCAAUAGAAAACUCCCAUAAGAAUCUAACCUUGUUUUCCUUUAUUUUAAAACAUCC